rnacentral:misc_RNA from 1 species
ACCUUUUUAAAAAAAAAAUUAAACUAUUUAAUUAGGAAAAACUGUUGCAAAUCAUAUAUGAACAUUAAUCACUAGAAAAGGAAAAAAUUUGAAGUGCCAGUCUGAAAUACCAGGGAUCAGCAUGAAACUUAGAUAAUAAAAAAAAAAAGUCAUGAUAAAUUCAAGACGCAAUCAACUACCCUAUUUAACAGGAAAAUCUCCGUUUUUACUAACCGAAGUAAUUUAGCACAAGUGCAAUUUUAAGCCUAUCCACUGAAAAAUGAAGAGUGAAGCAAUUCCAAGGAAGUUAGAAUAGAUCUUACCCAGUGAGAUCGGGAGAGACCCUUCCUGUUGAGUUAGUGCAGUUCAGUGGCAGAAUCGAUAGGGAUAUUCUCCGUCGCAUGCAGAAGAAGUGGAAAAAUGUGAUGAUAGAAAGAGAAAUAGACAGAGAUUGGGAAAGCAGUCAAUGUUGACGGUGAGGAACGUAAUAAUGGUGACGGCCGCGGCUAUCGGAGAAGGGAAUUUUAUGUAGCGUAGCAGUUGUGGAGGGUUAAAAUGGAUAUGGCGGUGCCUGCGGAUAGCCGUUGAGUGGCCGUUGGCCGUGUAGGGCGGGUUUAGAGGGAGCGGGGCU